CGAUUAGGUGAAAACCGUCGCACUUGAACGGGCCUAUAGCUGUGAUGCACAUAUAGCCUCCGACCGGAGUUCCCGGGCCCGCGUUCCCAGUCUCCACCCGAAUCGUGUUCAAAAAACGCCGCGCUUCUGACGUACUCACGCGUGCCGUUAACCGAAACGUUCUGCUCGAUUUAUCUGAAUCGCUGUGUCUUCUGUGUAACUCCACGCGGUGCUGCCGCCGCGCGUCUUGGCUUGCCCACGCUGCCAAGCAAGCGUUAUUUGCAGAAGACAAUCCUUCGCACAUUAAACCGAAGUGAACUUCAACACUGCUAUAACGUUAGGUGAAGGCAAACACUAGAGAUAUGCAGGCACUGCAGUAGAACAUAACGCAUUCGGUGCUGUUUAUAUAGUUCCUUCUUUUUAUGGAAAGGAACGGGGAGUAACGAGGAUUCCUGCGGAGAACAAGAGUAAAUUCAGAAGGUUUUCCGGUACGGUAAAUAAUUGUACACAUGACCAAAAAAAAAAAGUAAGACAGCACAUUUUAAAGAAAGAAACGUGUGCGUGCGCUUUUUUUCAGACACAUGGAAAGUUAAGCAGCACGAAUUAGCAAACCCCGAUAAAACGCGUCAGCCGGUCGCUAUUUCGACAUACUUCGAAGUCACCCCCACUAUAGACGAGGAAACCUAAAGUUUGCCCGCGCGGAACCAGCGCCGAAUGCUCCCCUAGCGGACCGAUGGAAGUUUCGAGGGUCGUCGCCGCGCUGGCGCGCGCCCGUGUUCUGUACGGCGGGAGCGCUCGUGCGCGUGGUUUUUGCGAUGCCGAGUGCGACCUCAUCAGCCAGGAAAGGUGGCACGCAAUACUAAUGUGUUGUCGAUUGCCACAGCAGCCUCGAAAACACGAAAAGUCCUACGCCGCCCGUGAUGUUCUACAGAUUUCCUGGGAAGUGGUACGAGAAGGACAGACGACAAGCAUGGAUAACUGCAGUGCGCGGCCGAGUCAAAUGGAAGCGGCGCCAAACAGACCAAUGGCAAUCACAACAGUCUUCUCAGCAGUCAGCACCACCGGGACAUGUGCUUUCGUACUGCAGCGACACAGCUCUUGAGCAGCAGCAAGACACGUGUGAAACAGACUCCAGAACAUGCCUUUGUGAAGUGACGGAACCGUCAAGAAGCAGCCCAAUGGAUCUGCAGUCAUCGAGUAGUAUGACAACAGAAGUUCCUGCUGCCAGUGUGACUUAUGUUGUAAUUGAAAUAAAAGUGGCUAAAUUUCUGAA